CUUGGUGCCAGACGGUCUUGUACAACCACUGAACCCUGAGGCUUCUGUCUUUGUCCUCGCUUGUCUCAACUGUGGGCAACCUGAGACCCCUGUUGACUAGGAAGGGUGGCCUUGGGAGCCUGGCAAAAGAGGAAGGUCUGGGAAAUAUCACACACCAGACAAGCAAAAAGCCAAAACUGGGCAGAACUGGCAGGGGCUGAGGCCAGGUGGUCAUUCUGCACAAUUACCACCAGAGGGCAGGCUUGCCUAGAGAUGAUGGAAAACAGGACGUGGUCAGAGGGCAGCCGUUAGGGGUGGCUGGCUGUGCAGGUAAGAGAGGAAGAGCACGGGGCCCCCACUGUGGGCUAAACACUAUGCUAAGUGCUUCGAGGAAGACAGAGAGGCAGACAGCUGGGGCGGCACCACCUGUGAUCGUGAGCAACCCUGGAAGCUGCACUGUCAACAGCCUGUCACAGGGAAUCACCUCAGGCCACUGCCUCCCCAAAGAGCUGCCCAAUGAACCAGCCUCUGCCCCUCGGGGUCUCUCUGCA
rnacentral:lncRNA from 1 species